rnacentral:rRNA from 1 species
AUACGGAGGGGGCUAGCGUUGCUCGGAAUUACUGGGCGUAAAGGGCUCGUAGGCGGUCUGAUAAGUCCUGUGUGAAAUCCCUUGGCUUAACCAAGGAACCGCGCCGGAUACUGUCGGACUUGAGGCCGGGAGAGGGAAGCGGAAUUCCCAGUGUAGCGGUGAAAUGCGUAGAUAUCCGGAGGAACAUCAGUGGCGAAGGCGACUACCUGGACUAACAUUGACGCUGAGGUGCGAAAGCGUGGGGAGCAAACAGGAUUAGAAACCCGAGUAGUCC